UGCCAGCAGCCGCGGUAAUACGAAGGGACCUAGCGUAGUUCGGAAUUACUGGGCUUAAAGAGUACGUAGGUGGUUAAAAAAGUUGAUGGUGAAAUCCCAAGGCUUAACCUUGGAACUGCCAUCAAAACUUUUUAACUAGAGUAUGAUAGAGGUAAGUGGAAUUUCUAGUGUAGAGGUGAAAUUCGUAGAUAUUAGAAAGAACACCAAUUGCGAAGGCAGCUUUCUGGAUCAUUACUGACACUGAGGUACGAAAGCAUGGGUAGCGAUGAGGAUUAGAUA
rnacentral:rRNA from 1 species